CCUCCGUUCUGCCGCCGUGAGGAAUAUUGGUCAAUGGGCUUACGCCUGAACCAGCCAAGUCGCGUGAGGGAAGACUGCCCUAUGGGUUGUAAACCUCUUUUGUCAGGGAGCAACGCCGGCUACGUGUAGCCGGACUGUGAGUACCUGAAGAAAAAGCAUCGGCUAACUCCGUGCCAGCAGCCGCGGUAAUACGGAGGUUCCGAGCGUUAUCCGGAUUCAUUGGGGUUAAAGGGUGCGUAGGUUGUUUUAUAAGUUAGCGGUGAAAUACCGAUGCUCAACAUCGGGGCUGCUGCUGAUACUGUAGGACUAGAGAUCGGAUGCAGCAGGCGGAAUGUGUAGUGUAGCGGUGAAAUGCAUAGAUAUUACACAGAACACCGAUUGCGAAGGCAGCUUGCUAGGCCGGAUCUGACACUGAUGCACGAAAGCGUGGGGAUCGAACAGGAUUAGAUACCCCAGUAGUC
rnacentral:rRNA from 1 species